rnacentral:lncRNA from 1 species
AUGUCCACUCUUUCUAUAAUCGGCGAGUGGGUGGGCGCGUUUUUUUUAAAGUCGCUCGGAAGAGGAACGGGAGAAAUGUUUGAGGUGGCCUUGGUUCGCUCCGGUCGCCUGAUGUUUCUUACGGAUUUUAAUGUUCUUCGUCGCGCGGUGGUUCGGCACGCGGGGAUUCUGCUGCGAUUUCAGCGGACCAUUCAGUCUGUGGACCGACGCGAGAGCUUCGCCUUGCAUCCCGGUGAUGUUGCCAUUCUCCAAAAAAGAAGGAAAAAUUGCAGGUCAGAGGUCAGCAACACUUGUAUUUAGAAUAAUUUAAUAUUAUUCCAUUUUUUGUAAAGCUGUACACUGUUCACAAUUGUACAUGACGCCAUCCAGUUAUUGAUAGUGAUGACCGUUUGGGUAUUAACCUCAGUACUGCUAAAAUUAUAACUGUGCACUUAAACGCGGCAACCCAAGUAGUAGUAAUAACACACCACAUCGGCUGUGCGGUGUAACCUUACGUCUGUGAUCAUGAUCAAAGCCAUUUCAAAUGCCACCACUGCAAUUAUGUUUAUUAAAACUAAUAUUACAAAAUCUCUGCAUUUACUUAUGAAAUUUACACAGUAUUACACUUAUAGUCCUCGAUCGCUGGAUCAGCUGUUGUUGCUACUUAUUCUUGAGCUUUUUGUUAUAUUGCUAAUAAUGACAUUUUACUGUAUUAAUACAAUACAUAUUACACAAUUAUAUUUUCACUUUUUUAAAAUAAUUGUUCAUUUUAGUGUUUGAAAUAAAAUGGAAACAAUUUGCUGAUUCAUUUAUUUGCUGUUUUUAUGUAUACAAUCAUGCAAAUAAAGGAUAGUGGACAAAGUUAUGGUGUCUUUGGUAUCAUUUGGAAUUAUAUAUGAAAUGUAUUUUUUAUUAAUUCAUGAAAAGAUGAUGGUAUAAAAAAAGAAAGUAAAAAAAAAACUCAAAAGAGAGUGAGCAAGUUUUAUAUUACUCAAGUCAGAAAUCUAUUUUAGCACAAUUAUUCCUUCAUAGGGAUUUUUUCUUUUGUCAUGAAAGCAGGAGAUACUUCUCACACUGAAGAGAUUUGAAGCUCUUGAUAAAAACUAUUUUACACAAUAUAAAAACUUCCACCUUCAUUCAACGAAAAUGAAUUUUGUACAGUCACUGACAGGCAAAAACUAAGAAUAUAUAAUACAAAAAACAAUAAAGAGAAGGCUUUUACUGGGAAGAAUAUCUUGAAAUCCAUCAGAUAAGGCAGGGUAAUUAAAAUGUCACCUUUCUCUGGAGGAAGGAGGCCCAUCACAGCUUUACAUAACUCAUUACUUUUGUACUUUCACUAAAUGCUGAUCACAAAUCUUAUUUGACUUGAGAAUCUGACAUGAGGUGGAAUCCCUCUAUUUGAGUCUUUUCCCCCCUUCAAAUUAUAGAGAAAAAUGUGUUUUUGUCUUGAUUGACAAUUCAUGAAAAAUAAUGACUUUUGAGAAAUGUGAUUUAGGGAUUCAUUUUUUAUUUGUUUUAAUAAUUUGAAAUGUUUAUUCAUUGUAAACUAUAAGAAAACCCUAUUGCUAUACAGCUUAAUGCAUUAAAGUGUUUUCAAGUUUAAAUGCUACCAAAAAAAAAUUAUAGGAUCCAAACAGAUUUUCUGUAUAUAUUUAGUCGCACAACAGGGAUCUGAAAUGAAGACAAUCUUAAAUAGAUGUAGUGUAUGUAUGUAUGCAACAAGUCAUGCACAUGAAAAUCAAUGACUGAUAUUUGUUAGGAACGACUGGAUCAGUAUGUAGUUGGACCUUUUAGGUUUCUUCAAGCAGAUUUUCAUGCUCUGUGUGAAUGCGUCUGGUUAUUACCUCAUAAACGUCUCUUCCUGCUCCGCUGCACCUCCACGCUCAGGAGGGGCUUCCAUUCCUCGAUCCUCCCCUCCAAACCCUCUGCGUUUCAGCAGGAGUUAAGUGACACAUUUCACAUUUCAAAAUACCAUCCUCCCAACAUGAGUCCCGCUGCCUGCCAUACCACCUCUUUUGUUUUCUUUGACACAUGCGGUCUUCUUCCAAUUAGCAUUUUUCAGCCAUUAAAGAGGAGAGAGGAGUGCUGAAAUGUUUUCCUGUUUCAUUACCACUGACUGCACCUCUUUGAUUGGUUGCAAAGGGAAAUGUUCUGUAAAAACAUCAUUUUCCGCAGAAGCUCGGAAAGAAAGUGGCCAGAAAACGUGGUACAGAUAAACUCCCGGAGUUAUAUUUAAGCAUAUAAGAUUACUGGAAAUAUUUCUCUCAGCGUUUUAUUGACUGGAUGAAUUGUUAUAAAAAGUGAAAGAAACAAAAUGAGAAAAACGGAAGCUACACACCGUGAUUUCCACAUCUUGUCAUUAAAUAAUAUAGCAGUGCAGUUCUGUCGGUUUUUAUUUUAUUUAUUUGUUUGUUUGUUUGCUCCCAGGUCGUAUUUUAAUGCGGAAAAUGAUGAAGAUGGUGAACAAUUUCCAAUGAUUCCGGAAUGGAAAAAAAGAAACAUUUGGUUCUUUCAUUCAUCCGAACCAUAAUUAUUAAGAUGUAACCGUUUUAGAUCAAAGAUAUGCACGAGGCACCUUUGAUAAUGUAUGGUUUUUAAGAGAAACAGAAUAGGAUCUUUUAUUUUUAUUUUGCUUCAGUCAAACUCGUAGCCUGUGGGGUUUCAGUUAGAGAGAGAUUUCUCCUCACUACUGAUGCAACAAAGAGAAAAACAGACCCCCUAAAAGCUGCUCCGAGUUGCUCUACUUCUGGCGCUUAGAGGAAAAUGUGUUU